rnacentral:lncRNA from 12 species
GGACAGGGGAGGAUGAGAGGGGCAGGGAGGGAAGCAUGCAAAACUGCCAGCUAGCAUAUGUCAGGUGCACAAGGCUCGUGCAUACUGAGAUUGUAGAUCUUCACCCACAUCCACUCUGCCUGUGACAUGUGAGUUAAUCUCUACAAAUAUUUAAUUUUAAAAGAUAAUUUUGAAGCUCUUGCUAUUUCUGAAAGAAU